rfam:Plasmodium gonderi DNA, contig: Chr14.
UGUGGACGAAUGAAGAACUAUUCUAAAAUCCUGAAUAGAGGAAGGAAUAGAUCUGACAUAUCCACA